rnacentral:rRNA from 1 species
CCUACGGGUGGCAGCAGUGAGGAAUUUUGGUCAAUGGACGAGAGUCUGAACCAGCCAAGUCGCGUGAAGGAUGACUGCCCUAUGGGUUGUAAACUUCUUUUAUAAAGGAAUAAAACGACGCACGUGUGUCUUUUUGCAUGUACUUUAUGAAUAAGGAUCGGCUAACUCCGUGCCAGCAGCCGCGGUAAUACGGAGGAUACGAGCGUUAUCCGGAUUUAUUGGGUGUAAAGGGAGCGUAGAUGGGUUGUUAAGUCAGUUGUGAAAGUUUGCGGCUCAACCGUGAAAUUGCAAUUGAUACUGGCAGUCUUGAGUACAGUUGAGGAGGGCGGAAUGCGUUGUGUAGCGGUGAAAUGCUUAGAUAUCACGAAGAACUCCGAUUGCGAAGGCAGCUUACUAAACUGCCACUGACAUUGAUGCUCGAAAGUGUGGGUAGCAAACAGGAUUAGAUACCCUUGUAGUC